rnacentral:rRNA from 1 species
CAGUAGCCGCGGUAAUACGAGGGGGGCAAGCGUUGUUCGGAAUUAUUGGGCGUAAAGGGCGCGUAGGUGGUUUGGCAAGUUUGGUGUGAAAUCUUCGGGCUCAACUCGAAGUCUGCAUCGAAAACUGCCGGGCUUGAGUAUGGGAGAGGUGAGUGGAAUUUCCGGUGUAGCGGUGAAAUGCGUAGGUAUCGGAAGGAACACCUGUGGCGAAAGCGGCUCACUGGACCAUUACUGACGCUGAGGCGCGAAAGCUAGGGGAGCAAACAGGAUUAGAUACCCCCGUAGUCCCUGUCUCUUAUAC